GUGUUUGAUCGCGCUCCAGAAAUAGGCAGUGGGGUAACACAAGUAUAAAAAGGACUGCAAUUCUGAGAAACCUUGGACAUUGCUGAGCAAGGGCUCAUUGCAUAGCUUCAUGGACAUUAAAACGCCAUCUCUCUCGAGCAGGAAUCUCACAAAUCGUAAAUAUGACAAGCAAAAAAAAAAAAAAAAAAGCAAGACCAAACUCAUUUGUCUGACGGCGCUGUUGAGCCAUUUUACGCUUUCUGUCUU